GCAGGGGUAGCCAAGCAUGGUCAACGGCGCAGGACUUAAGAUCCUGUCUCGAAGGAGUCCGAGGGUUCAAAUCCCUCCCCCUGCA
rnacentral:tRNA from 1 species